GUGGCUGCGCUUGCGAGCACCCUGAGGUAGAUUGGGUGGUUUCAGCAGGAACGCAUCCACUGUCUGAGAGUUUAAACUUGAUUUUGUGAGGGGACGAACAGCGUGACAAUUAAAGAAGAUCUAGGAAUCAAAAGCUUCCUGAGGCCUUCACCAGAAGCAGAUGCUGGUGCCGUGCUUCUACAGCCUGCAGAACUAAGAGAAGACAUGGAGAAGAGGAGGGAGUAGUUGUGACCGUGGAGGCAGAGAAUGGAGUAAUGUGAUCAUAAAUCAAGGAAUGCUGACAGCCACUAAAGCUGGAGAAGGCCAAGGACAGAUAUUCAAUCCUCCCGUAGAAGUACAGCCCUGCUAAUGCAUUGAUUUUGGACUUCUGGCCUCAGAACUGUCUGCAAAGCAUGGAAAUUUGUAUCUUCAUUCACUUUUGUUUUCAUGGACUCUUUUCAUGUUUGAACUUCUCAUGGUAUGAGCUGUUUUAUAAUCUAUAAUAUGGAAUGUUUCUCAUACGAAUGUUUUUCUUAUUGAAGAAUGCCAUAGAAAUAAGGGUGUGAGGUAUACUUACUUGACAGGGGAAU
rnacentral:antisense_RNA from 1 species